rnacentral:tRNA from 1 species
AUAGCUUAUAAAGAGCAUAAUAUUGAAGAUAUUAAGGAAAUAUAUUUAUUUUUAAGUAAUAAAU